rnacentral:misc_RNA from 1 species
AACUGAUACUACCUGCGGGAACCUGCGGAAGGAUCAUUACCGAGUUUUCAACUCCCAAACCCCAUGUGAACUUAUACCAUUUACAACCGUUGCUUCGGCGGGUUCUCGCCCCGGGCUUUACACCCCGGAACCAGGCGGCCCGCCGGGGGACCCAAACUCUAGAUUUAUAUUUUAGCAUGUCUGAGUGGAAUCAUUACAAAAUGAAUCAAAACUUUCAACAACGGAUCUCUAGAUCGGAAG